rnacentral:rRNA from 1 species
GAUGAACGCUGGCGGCGUGCCUAAUACAUGCAAGUCGAGCGAAUGGAUUAAGAGCUUGCUCUUAUGAAGUUAGCGGCGGACGGGUGAGUAACACGUGGGUAACCUGCCCAUGAGACUGGGAUAACUCCGGGAAACCGGGGCUAAUACCGGAUAAUAUUUUGAACUGCAUGGUUCAAAAUUGAAAGGCGGCUUCGGCUGUCACUUAUGGAUGGACCCGCGUCGCAUUAGCUAGUUGGUGAGGUAACGGCUCACCAAGGCAACGAUGCGUAGCCGACCUGAGAGGGUGAUCGGCCACACUGGACUGAGACACGGCCCAGACUCCUACGGGAGGCAGCAGUAGGGAAUCUUCCGCAAGGGACGAAAGUCUGACGGAGCAACGCCGCGUGAGUGAUGAAGGCUUUCGGGUCGUAAAACUCUGUUGUUAGGGAAGAACAAGUGCUAGUUGAAUAAGCUGGCACCUUGACGGUACCUAACCAGAAAGCCACGGCUAACUACGUGCCAGCAGCCGCCGUAA